AUUGAACGCUGGCGGCAGGCUUAACACAUGCAAGUCGAGCGGGGGAAGGUAGCUUGCUACCGGACCUAGCGGCGGACGGGUGAGUAAUGCUAAGGAGUCUGCCUAUUAGUGGGGGACAACAUCUCGAAAGGGAUGCUAAUACCGCAUACGUCCUACGGGAGAAAGCAGGGGAUCUUUGGACCUUGCGCUAAUAGAUGAGCCUAAGUCGGAUUAGCUAGUUGGUGGGGUAAAGGCCUACCAAGGCGACGAUCUGUAGCGGGUCUGAGAGGAUGAUCCGCCACACUGGGACUGAGACACGGCCCAGACUCCUACGGGAGGCAGCAGUGGGGAAUAUUGGACAAUGGGGGGAACCCUGAUCCAGCCAUGCCGCGUGUGUGAAGAAGGCCUUAUGGUUGUAAAGCACUUUAAGCGAGGAGGAGGCUACUUUAGUUAAUACCUAGAGAUAGUGGACGUUACUCGCAGAAUAAGCACCGGCUAACUCUGUGCCAGCCGCCGCGGUAA
rnacentral:rRNA from 1 species